rnacentral:rRNA from 1 species
GAUGAACGCUGGCGGCGUGCCUAAUACAUGCAAGUCGAGCGAACAGACGAGGAGCUUGCUCCUCUGACGUUAGCGGCGGACGGGUGAGUAACACGUGGAUAACCUACCUAUAAGACUGGGAUAACUUCGGGAAACCGGAGCUAAUACCGGAUAAUAUAUUGAACCGCAUGGUUCAAUAGUGAAAGACGGGUUUGCUGUCACUUAUAGAUGGAUCCGUGCCGCAUUAGCUAGUUGGUAAGGUAACGGCUUACCAAGGCAACGAUGCGUAGCCGACCUGAGAGGGUGAUCGGCCACACUGGAACUGAGACACGGUCCAGAGUCCUACGGGAGGCAGCAGUAGGGAAUCUUCCGCAAUGGGCGAAAGCUUGACGGAGCAACGCCGCGUGAGUGAUGAAGGUCUUCGGAUCGUAAAACUCUGUUAUUAGGGAAGAACAAAUGUGUAAGUAACUAUGCACGUCUUGACGGUACCUAAUCAGAAAGCCACGGCUAACUACGUG